rnacentral:rRNA from 1 species
UGAUACUAAGCCAUGCGAGUCAUUGUAGCAAUACAAGGCAUACGGCUCAGUAACGCGUAGUCAACCUAACCUAUGGACGGGAAUAACCUCGGGAAACUGAGAAUAAUGCCCGAUAGAACAUUAUGCCUGGAAUAGUUUAUGUUCCAAAUGAUUUAUCGCCGUAGGAUGGGACUGCGGCCUAUCAGUUUGUUGGUGAGGUAAUGGCCCACCAAGACUAUUACAGGUACGGGCUCUGAGAGGAGUAGCCCGGAGAUGGGUACUGAGACACGGACCCAGGCCCUAUGGGGCGCAGCAGGCGAGAAAACUUUGCAAUGUGCGAAAGCACGACAAGGUUAAUCCGAGUGGUUUCUGCUAAAGGAACCUUUUGUCAGUCCUAGAAACACUGAUGAAUAAGGGGUGGGCAAGUUCUGGUGUCAGCCGCCGCGGUAAAACCAGCACCUUAAGUGGUCAGGAUGAUUAUUGGGCCUAAAGCAUCCGUAGCCGGCUCUGUAAGUUUUCGGUUAAAUCUGUACGCUCAACGUACAGGCUGCCGGGAAUACUGCAAAGCUAGGGAGUGGGAGAGGUAGACGGUACUCGGUAGGAAGGGGUAAAAUCCUUUGAUCUAUUGAUGACCACCUGUGGCGAAGGCGGUCUACCAGAACACGUCCGACGGUGAGGGAUGAAAGCUGGGGGAGCAAACCGGAUUAGAUACCCGGGUAGUCCCAGCUGUAAACCAUGCAAACUCAGUGAUGCAUUGGCUUGUGGCCAAUGCAGUGCUGCAGGGAAGCCGUUAAGUUUGCCGCCUGGGAAGUACGUACGCAAGUAUGAAACUUAAAGGAAUUGGCGGGGGAGCACCACAAGGGGUGAAGCCCGCG